rnacentral:rRNA from 1 species
UGGGGAAUAUUGGGCAAUGGGCGAAAGCCUGAUCCAGCCAUGCCGCGUGAGUGAUGAAGGCCUUAGGGUUGUAAAGCUCUUUUGGCAGGGACGAUAAUGACGGUACCUGCAGAAUAAGCCCCGGCUAACUUCGUGCCAGCAGCCGCGGUAAUACGAAGGGGGCUAGCGUUGUUCGGAAUUACUGGGCGUAAAGCGCGCGUAGGCGGAUUGAUCAGUCAGGGGUGAAAUCCCGGGGCUUAACCCCGGAACUGCCUUUGAUACUGUCAAUCUAGAGAUCGAGAGAGGUGAGUGGAAUUCCGAGUGUAGAGGUGAAAUUCGUAGAUAUUCGGAGGAACACCAGUGGCGAAGGCGGCUCACUGGCUCGAUACUGACGCUGAGGUGCGAAAGCGUGGGGAGCAAACAGGAUUAGAUACCCCCGUAGUCC